CGCACUUCCCUUGCCCAAUUUUUUUGUUGUAGUGUAGAAUCUUUUUUAAGUUUAAGUUUAUCCCGUAGCCGAACACUGUCUCUUAAGAUACAGGUUACCCUAGUUUAAGAGGCAGGGUUAAUAUACUUUGUACAGAUUUUACAAAAUACAAAAAUAAUAUUGUAACGAACACUGCAUAUUCUUUUUAUUUUUAUUUUUUUUGUGCCUACCUAUCUGUAAUUUUUCGCUAAUAAAUAAAUAUUUAUUUAUUUU